rnacentral:rRNA from 1 species
AUGGCUGAACCCAACUCAUACGAGGAGCAGCGCAGGAGGCACGUGGAGGAGAACAAGCGGAAGCUGGGCGAGCUGCGCCUGCACCACCUCUCCGCCGCCGUCCGCGACGCCGCCGUCAAGCCCAUGCCGACCAAGCAGCUGAAGCUGCGGAAGGCUGCCGCGCCGCCGGCGCCGACCCGGCGGUCCGGACGCGUAGCCAGUCUUCCCAGGCAACCUGAUUACCGCAACAUCACAUUACCACCUGAUCUAGUGUACGUGGCUGAGGAAGCGAGGGCCUACGCCUUGACCAAGGCCAAAGAGCUCAAGAACCAGUUGUGCUCUGACCACCCCUCUUUCAUCAAGCCCAUCUCCAAUUAUGCUGCCACAAGUUCCUGGCUGAACAUCCGGUCACAGGUCAAUAAGAGGUAUCUGCCGUGGAGUGAUGAGAUGAUCUUUCUGGUGGAUGAAGAGGAUGGCGAGUUUCAGAUGCCUUACUAUGCACUAAGGGGUUCCUUUGGCACUGGAUGGAAAUGGUUCGCCAUCGGUCACAAGCUGGCUGAUGGUGAUUGCUUGGUGUUCCAGCUAGUUGAGAAGACAAAGUUCAAGGUCUACAUAAUCAGAGGAAGUUCCUACUACGAAAAGGACCACUGUUGA